UACGGGGGGGGCAAGCGUUGUUCGGAAUUACUGGGCGUAAAGGGCUCGUAGGUGGCCAACUAAGUCAGACGUGAAAUCCCUCGGCUUAACCGGGGAACUGCGUCUGAUACUGGAUGGCUUGAGUUUGGGAGAGGGAUGCGGAAUUCCAGGUGUAGCGGUGAAAUGCGUAGAUAUCUGGAGGAACACCGGUGGCGAAGGCGGCAUCCUGGGCCAACACUGACGCUCAUGCACGAAAGCGUGGGGAGCAAACAGG
rnacentral:rRNA from 1 species